rnacentral:piRNA from 1 species
UGGUGGCUCAAAACCAUCCGUAAUGGGGUC